rnacentral:rRNA from 1 species
UACAGAGGUCCCGAGCGUUGUUCGGAUUCCUUGGGCGUAAAGGGUGCGUAGGCGGCGGGGCAAGUCUGAUGUGAAAUCCCGGGGCUCAACCCCGGAACUGCAUUGGAUACUGCCUUGCUCGAGUACUGGAGAGGGAACUGGAAUUUACGGUGUAGCAGUGAAAUGCGUAGAGAUCGUAAGGAAGGCCAGUGGCGAAGGCGAGUUCCUGGACAGUUACUGACGCUGAGGCACGAAGGCCAGGGGAGCAAACGGG